rnacentral:rRNA from 1 species
AUUGAACGCUGACGGCAGGCUUAACACAUGCAAGUCGAGCGGAGAUGAGGUGCUUGCACCUUAUCUUAGCGGCGGACGGGUGAGUAAUGCUUAGGAAUCUGCCUAUUAGUGGGGGACAACAUUCCGAAAGGAAUGCUAAUACCGCAUACGUCCUACGGGAGAAAGCAGGGGAUCUUCGGACCUUGCGCUAAUAGAUGAGCCUAAGUCGGAUUAGCUAGUUGGUUGGGUAAAGGCCUACCAAGGCGACUAUCUGUAGCGGGUCUGAGAGGAUGAUCCGCCACACUGGGACUGAGACACGGCCCACACUCCUACGGGAGGCAGCAGUGGGGAAUAUUGGACAAUGGGGGGAACCCUGAUCCAGCCAUGCCGCGUGUGUGAAGAAGGCCUUAUGGUUGUAAAGCACUUUAAGCGAGGAGGAGGCUACUGAGACUAAUACUCUUGGAUAGUGGACGUUACUCGCAGAAUAAGCACCGGCUAACUCUGUGCCAGCAGCCGCGGUAAUACAGAGGGUGCGAGCGUCAAUCGG